AAAUAAAUGUCCUUAUAUAUUAAUUUGAAUAUAAUUUUGGAUAAUUUAUAUUUUUCGCAUACGAAAAAGUGUAGUCGCAGGUACUUCGAUCUCCAUCAGUUCUGUCUCAAAGGAUAGUCACAAGUCACUCUUGCAAAGCAAUUCUCUAGUUUGAUUCACAAGGAGAGGAAUGGAGGCGGGAAGGAGCCCUGCAAUGAGAGUCCAGAUCUUAGCAGAAGCGGACAUAGCAGAGAUCCCUUGCCAAUAUAUUCAACCCCCUGAAAAUCGACCCGUCAUUGUUGGCGAUAGUAAUGAGAAUAUUCCGGCGAUAGACCUGUUUGGGUUGGAUGGAGAGCACAGAAAAUCAAUUAGGAAGGCAAUUGGAGAGGCUUGCAGGGAAUGGGGUGCAUUCCACGUGAUCAACCACGGAGUACCCACUCAAUUAUUGGACCAGAUGAGAAGUUUGAGCUUGUGCUUCUUCAGUGAUUAUCCAUUUCAAGAUAAGCUAAAGUACGCAUGCGAUCCCUCUUCCGCAGCCUCCGAAGGAUAUGGGAGCAAGAUGCUGGUUGAUAAAGACAGCGUCUUGGACUGGAGGGACUACUUUGAUCACCACACUCUGCCCCUUUCUCGCCGUAAUCCUUCUCGCUGGCCUCACUACCCUCCCAAUUACAGAGAAAUCGUAGGGAAGUAUAGUGAUGAGAUGAAGGUGCUAGCUCAAAAGCUUCUGGGUCUGAUCUCAGAGAGUCUAGGGUUGCCAUCAUGUUGCAUUGAGGAUGCAAUAGGGGAUUUCUAUCAGAAUAUUACCAUCAGCUAUUACCCUCCAUGCCCUCGGCCUGAGCUUACACUUGGUCUCCAGUCCCAUUCUGAUAUGGGUGUUAUUACUCUAUUGAUUCAAGACAACGUUGAGGGUCUUCAGGUUUUCAAAGAUUCUCAGUGGGUGACUGUGCACCCUUUAUCUGAUGCCAUUGUUGUCAUCCUGUCUGAUCAAACUGAGAGCAGAAGGUUUAAUUGUGCCUAUUUUGAGGUGAAGAUGUUAAAUGUUGAUAGAGGCCACACGGGAAUGCAAGAGGAAUGUAUUUGAGAGAGGAGAAAUCUCUCUGGUCUUGUUAUGAUGCUAUGUUUUUUCAUUUCAACUUCUAUUUAUAUUGCGCCCCGCAUAUUACACAGUUUUUUAUUGAAGCAUGAAGCCUCGAACUGCUUUACAACGUCCUGGCCUGCACUUCAAGCAGAAGUCAAUUCCAAAUUAUGCGUGAUGUUCUCUAUGCUGAUAGCUAGGCAAUCUUGUGAAUUUUCAUCACGAUAAUAACCAAUGGGAAGUAUAAGAGUGCUCAACAUCGGGCCAUAACUAAUGCCAGCAGGGCUCGACUUUCAGUCGCAACAUUUCAUGAUCCAGCCAAGACUGUGAAAAUAUCCCCUAUUUCUGAGCUUAUCAGCAAAUCAUGCCCUCCUAGAUACCAUGAGGUUAAUUAUGCAGAUUAUGUGUCAUCAUGGUACAGAAAAGGGCCACAAGGAAAACGAAACAUUGAUGCACUUCUGAUUAAUCAUUGACCGUCUACAAUGCCUUAUGUUUAAGAGGACGCAUUAGUGGCUCCCGUUAUUUUUCUUUUGUAAAUUCAGUUUGUAUCAAUAUACUUUUAAUUAUUUUUUGUCAAUCCGAAUGAUUGCAUAAGAUCAAUUCUAAAAGUGAUUGGAUUGGAUAGUGGGAUUUCUAA